AAAGUCGUAACAAGGUUUCCGUAGGUGAACCUGCGGAAGGAUCAUUAUCUUUGAAACAACAAAGUUUCACAAAAACAAAAACACACCGGUUGGGAGGUAUAUCCCGUCUGCCGAAAGUUUGUAAGUCUGCAUAGUUUUGACAAAAAACUGAUGAGCAGCCGGCUUGACGUGUUGUUUUUUGACCCUUGUUUUUUGCGUACCUAUUGUUUCCUCGGCGAGUUUGCUCGCCGGUUGGACAAACCUUAUAACCUUUUUUAAUCUUCAAUCAGCGUCUGAAUUAUACAUAAUAAUUACAACUUUCAACAACGGAUCUCUUGGUUCUG
rnacentral:misc_RNA from 1 species